UCGAGAAUUUUUCACAAUGGGCGCAAGCCUGAUGGAGCGACGCCGCGUGGGGGAUGAAGGGCUUCGGCUCGUAAACCCCUGUCAUUCGCGAGCAAAACCUGCGUAUUAAUACCAUGCAGGCUGAUAGUAGCGGAAGAGGAAGGGACGGCUAACUCUGUGCCAGCAGCCGCGGUAAUACAGAGGUCCCAAGCGUUGUUCGGAUUUACUGGGCGUAAAGGGUGCGUAGGCGGUCGGACAAGUCUGAUGUGAAAUCUCCAGGCUCAACUUGGAAAAGGCAUUAGAAACUGUUCGGCUAGAGGGUUGGAGGGGGGACUGGAAUUCUCGGUGUAGCAGUGAAAUGCGUAGAUAUCGAGAGGAACACCAGUGGCGAAGGCGAGUCCCUGGACAACUCCUGACGCUGAGGCACGAAAGCUAGGGGAUCAAACAGG
rnacentral:rRNA from 1 species